UACAGAGGGGGCAAGCGUUGUUCGGAAUUACUGGGCGUAAAGGGCGCGUAGGCGGUCGUGACAAGUCACUUGUGAAAUCUCCGGGCUUAACUCGGAACGGUCAAGUGAUACUGUCGGACUAGAGUACAGAAGGGGCGACUGGAAUUCUCGGUGUAGCGGUGAAAUGCGUAGAUAUCGAGAGGAACACCUGCGGCGAAGGCGGGUUGCUGGGCUGAUACUGACGCUGAGGCGCGAAAGCCAGGGGAGCGAACGGG
rnacentral:rRNA from 1 species